rnacentral:rRNA from 1 species
GGUUAAGCGACUAAGCGUACACGGUGGAUGCCCUGGCAGUCAGAGGCGAUGAAGGACGUGCUAAUCUGCGAUAAGCGUCGGUAAGGUGAUAUGAACCGUUAUAACCGGCGAUUUCCGAAUGGGGAAACCCAGUGUGAUUCGUCACACUAUCAUUAACUGAAUCCAUAGGUUAAUGAGGCGAACCGGGGGAACUGAAACAUCUAAGUACCCCGAGGAAAAGAAAUCAACCGAGAUUCCCCCAGUAGCGGCGAGCGAACGGGGAGCAGCCCAGAGCCUGAAUCAGUGUGUGUGUUAGUGGAAGCGUCUGGAAAGGCGCGCGAUACAGGGUGACAGCCCCGUACACAAAAAUGCACAUGCUGUGAGCUCGAUGAGUAGGGCGGGACACGUGGUAUCCUGUCUGAAUAUGGGGGGACCAUCCUCCAAGGCUAAAUACUCCUGACUGACCGAUAGUGAACCAGUACCGUGAGGGAAAGGCGAAAAGAACCCCGGCGAGGGGAGUGAAAAAGAACCUGAAACCGUGUACGUACAAGCAGUGGGAGCACGCUUAGGCGUGUGACUGCGUACCUUUUGUAUAAUGGGUCAGCGACUUAUAUUCUGUAGCAAGGUUAACCGAAUAGGGGAGCCGAAGGGAAACCGAGUCUUAACUGGGCGUUAAGUUGCAGGGUAUAGACCCGAAACCCGGUGAUCUAGCCAUGGGCAGGUUGAAGGUUGGGUAACACUAACUGGAGGACCGAACCGACUAAUGUUGAAAAAUUAGCGGAUGACUUGUGGCUGGGGGUGAAAGGCCAAUCAAACCGGGAGAUAGCUGGUUCUCCCCGAAAGCUAUUUAGGUAGCGCCUCGUGAAUUCAUCUCCGGGGGUAGAGCACUGUUUCGGCAAGGGGGUCAUCCCGACUUACCAACCCGAUGCAAACUGCGAAUACCGGAGAAUGUUAUCACGGGAGACACACGGCGGGUGCUAACGUCCGUCGUGAAGAGGGAAACAACCCAGACCGCCAGCUAAGGUCCCAAAGUCAUGGUUAAGUGGGAAACGAUGUGGGAAGGCCCAGACAGCCAGGAUGUUGGCUUAGAAGCAGCCAUCAUUUAAAGAAAGCGUAAUAGCUCACUGGUCGAGUCGGCCUGCGCGGAAGAUGUAACGGGGCUAAACCAUGCACCGAAGCUGCGGCAGCGACACUGUGUGUUGUUGGGUAGGGGAGCGUUCUGUAAGCCUGCGAAGGUGUGCUGUGAGGCAUGCUGGAGGUAUCAGAAGUGCGAAUGCUGACAUAAGUAACGAUAAAGCGGGUGAAAAGCCCGCUCGCCGGAAGACCAAGGGUUCCUGUCCAACGUUAAUCGGGGCAGGGUGAGUCGACCCCUAAGGCGAGGCCGAAAGGCGUAGUCGAUGGGAAACAGGUUAA